rnacentral:lncRNA from 1 species
UUUUUUUUGCUUUGGAUCCUGGCCCACAUCAAUGAGCUUGGCAGUUGUGUGAAGUCUGACCCGUCCGUUCAACUUUCAUUGAAUGUCUGUAAAUGCCCUUUGUUGAACACUGAGCACUGAAGGGUUUGUAUAGAUGUAUUUGUUUUGUUCAAAAAGAAAAUAAUAUCCUCAGGGCUGAGUUUUGAAUUCACAAGAUUGCUAAUCAUUGAUCAUAACAGUUCAAAUUUGCAGAAUCCUUGACACAGAUUAUCUCAUUUAAUCCUCUCAAUAAAGCUGGGGGUGAAGGUAUUAAUAUCCCCACAUUAGGAAAGAGAGCCUCGGUGCAGGAAGUUAAGUAAGUUAUUUAAAUUGCUCCAGACUAUAAGUGGACCAACUGGGAUUUGGGUCCAUGUCAAUCAGAAGAGUGCUUUCUUAAUGGCUCUCCUAAAAUACCUGGGAUGAUGUCUCUCUUACCCAGAUAUUCUUUCUUCUGGGGUAACUCUUCAUCUCUCUCUACAAGUAUAUUCUUGGCAAAGGAGGUUACUACAUGUAGCACUAAACAUCCGAUUCCCUACCUUCCCUUCCCUUCCUUUUCUCCCCAGCAGGGACCACAUAAAUUUCACUUAAAAAUGUGGAAAGGGUNUCUUACAAAAUCUAGAUCUAUAAAAUGAAACAGGUGCAACAUAAAAAAGAGUAAUUUUCCAAAAGUUUUUGAUGCCUUGUAAAUGUUAUGAAAAAAGUGUCUGAAAAAUAAAAUUGGUGAUAUAUUGCUAUAUGUGAUCAAUAAAGCACGUGGUCUCCAAUUUUAUGGGACAAGAUGAAUAUGGUUUAGUGAAUAGAGUGUGGGCUUGGAAGUUAAAUAAACUGGAGUUCUAAUCCCAACUCAGGCAUUCAUCAAUGGGGUGGUCUAGAGGAGUUCCUUAAACUCUGAACUUGGUUAUUCAAUCCUGUCAAUUAGGGAAAUUGUAUCUAAUGUUCAAGGCCUGUUUUUAGGAUUGGAAAGUUUUAGACAGAUAACCUUGUAUGUACUUCGCAGAGAGUAAGCCUUCAGAAAUUAGUUAUUACCCACCAGAAUUUAUUCAGAACUCUCUGAGUAGUAGGCACUGUUUGCUGUUAACUAUGUCUUACCCCCAUUACUAGGCUCUUGAUUAGGGUGAAAGAGGAGAGUGAAAAAGCUGGCUUAAAAUUCAACAUUCAA